UACGUAGGUGGCGAGCGUUAUCCGGAUUUAUUGGGUUUAAAGGGUGCGUAGGCGGACUGUCAAGUCAGCGGUAAAAUUGAGAGGCUCAACCUCUUCCCGCCGUUGAAACUGGUGGUCUUGAGUGGAUGAGAAGUACGCGGAAUGCGUGGUGUAGCGGUGAAAUGCAUAGAUAUCACGCAGAACUCCGAUUGCGAAGGCAGCGUACCGGCAUCCAACUGACGCUGAGGCACGAAAGCGUGGGGAUCAAACAGG
rnacentral:rRNA from 1 species